UGUGCCCGUCCCACCUUGCUCCUCCUGCCCAACAAUAUCCUGGUGCUGAGUGAGUUGCACACAGAGACUCCAGCAUCAGUGAUUUUGUUGAGGAAGGGGAGCGCUGCAUCGGGGCCACCAG
rnacentral:pre_miRNA from 7 species